rnacentral:rRNA from 1 species
AUACGUAGGUGGCAAGCGUUGUCCGGAAUUAUUGGGCGUAAAGCGCAUGUAGGCGGCAAUUUAAGUCUGUUGUGAAACUGCGGGGCUCAGCCCCGUAUGGCGAUGGAAACUGGGUAACUUGAGGGCAGGAGAGGAAAGGGGAACUCCCAGUGGAGCGGUGAAAUGCGUAGAUAUUGGGAAGAACCCCGAUGGCGAAGGCGGCUUUCUUGACUGUGUCUGACGCUGAGAUGCGAAAGCCUGGGUGACGAACGGGAUUAAAUACCCCGGUAGUCCUUGCCGUAAACGAUGGGUACUAGGUGUGGGAGGUAUCGACCCCUUCCGUGCCGGAGUUAACGCAAUAAGUACCCCGCCUGGGGAGUACGGCCGCAAGGCUUAAACUCAAAUGAAUUGACGGGG